rnacentral:rRNA from 1 species
GAUGAACGCUGGCGGCGUGCCUAAUACAUGCAAGUCGAGCGAACGGACGAGAAGCUUGCUUCUCUGAUGUUAGCGGCGGACGGGUGAGUAACACGCGGAUAACCUACCUAUAAGACUGGGAUAACUUCGGGAAACCGGAGCUAAUACCGGAUAAUAUUUUGAACCGCAUGGUUCAAAAGUGAAAGACGGUCUUGCUGUCACUUAUAGAUGGAUCCGCGCUGCAUUAGCUAGUUGGUAAGGUAACGGCUUACCAAGGCAACGAUGCAUAGCCGACCUGAGAGGGUGAUCGGCCACACUGGAACUGAGACACGGUCCAGACUCCUACGGGAGGCAGCAGUAGGGAAUCUUCCGCAAUGGGCGAAAGCCUGACGGAGCAACGCCGCGUGAGUGAUGAAGGUCUUCGGAUCGUAAAACUCUGUUAUUAGGGAAGAACAUAUGUGUAAGUAACUGUGCACAUCUUGACGGUACCUAAUCAGAAAGCCACGGCUAACUACGUGCCAGCAGCCGCGGUAAUACGUAGGUGGCAAGCGUUAUCCGGAAUUAUUGGGCGUAAAGCGCGCGUAGGCGGUUUUUUAAGUCUGAUGUGAAAGCCCACGGCUCAACCGUGGAGGGUCAUUGGAAACUGGAAAACUUGAGUGCAGAAGAGGAAAGUGGAAUUCCAUGUGUAGCGGUGAAAUGCGCAGAGAUAUGGAGGAACACCAGUGGCGAAGGCGACUUUCUGGUCUGUAACUGACGCUGAUGUGCGAAAGCGUGGGGAUCAAACAGGAUUAGAUACCCUGGUAGUCCACGCCGUAAACGAUGAGUGCUAAGUGUUAGGGGGUUUCCGCCCCUUAGUGCUGCAGCUAACGCAUUAAGCACUCCGCCUGGGGAGUACGACCGCAAGGUUGAAACUCAAAGGAAUUGACGGGGACCCGCACAAGCGGUGGAGCAUGUGGUUUAAUUCGAAGCAACGCGAAGAACCUUACCAAAUCUUGACAUCCUUUGACAACUCUAGAGAUAGAGCCUUCCCCUUCGGGGGACAAAGUGACAGGUGGUGCAUGGUUGUCGUCAGCUCGUGUCGUGAGAUGUUGGGUUAAGUCCCGCAACGAGCGCAACCCUUAAGCUUAGUUGCCAUCAUUAAGUUGGGCACUCUAAGUUGACUGCCGGUGACAAACCGGAGGAAGGUGGGGAUGACGUCAAAUCAUCAUGCCCCUUAUGAUUUGGGCUACACACGUGCUACAAUGGACAAUACAAAGGGCAGCGAAACCGCGAGGUCAAGCAAAUCCCAUAAAGUUGUUCUCAGUUCGGAUUGUAGUCUGCAACUCGACUACAUGAAGCUGGAAUCGCUAGUAAUCGUAGAUCAGCAUGCUACGGUGAAUACGUUCCCGGGUC